UGAUAAAUUAAAGUGUCUGAUAGCAUCGGAGACUAAAUUCAAUCUAUUCGUGAAAAAUUGUUCGUCACCGCUGAAUAUUGGUUCGAAUUGGUUUAAAUCGGCGGAAGAAGGUCAACGGGAAGAGGUAUCAUUAAAAACCAUCGAGGGGUCAUUAAAAGAAUCACAAUGGUGCACACCAACAUCAUGAAUUCCACGAUAAAGGAUUCCUACCACGACGUCAGGAAGGGCAAGACUGGGUCCUCGUCGACGGGACAACAGCAAGAUUUGAAGAAGAACGACAAGUACGGUUCUUGGGGUCCAGUUUACAAGAACAAGCAAAAUUUCGUCGACAUGCACAUUUGCUGACGUCUCUGCAAAGGAAAUGGCGACAUCCGGCAGUAUCGCGGUUAAAUGGCUCCAGACGCGUCGUUAGCGACUCGAAAGUAAUCGAGUAUCCAGAAUCCGUGAUCAUUCCACGAUGUCACGUGACGCCGGAGUUUGAAAUUAGAAUGCCGAAUGCGACGAAAACGUAGACCGAUUGCCCAACGCGUGAUACUUUAAAGAUGUUAGCAAAUCAAAUGUAAAGGCGAAUAAAAAUGUGUGUACCAUUGUGA